GCCAGCACACAGGUUGCUCGAUAUCCAGAGCGGUCAAUCAAGAACGAUUGAGAGAGAGAGAGAUACCGUGCGUUUCUUCGCUUUGCACGAAGAGAUAGACGGAUCGAAGGGAAAUUAUGGUCAGUUGAUGUAAUCACGAAUAAUUUGAGGAUCUUAGAGUCAAGGGAAGAAUUUGCGGAUCUUAGAGCCAAAGGGUUGGGGUUUUGAGAAUUUUUGUUUGAAAUGAUUGUUGGCAUUAGCCAGAAAGAGAGGAAUACCUUGGGUGGAAGGGUUGCCAACAUAAGUGCAGGAAGAAUUGCUGGAUAACAGUCUCCGGGAAGAUCUGACAUGGAGGCCAUCUACUUUGAUGAAGGUGUAAGGAACUCAAGACGACACCAAUUGAAAACAAGAGCAUUGUUGGGUUAUGGAAUGGGAGGUGGAAGAUGGUCAAAAUCAGAUUGGAGGUACAAGAGAUAUAUUUCUCAAUUUGUAUCAUAUCUUUUGUAAUAGCAAGAAACUGCCAUGCUUUAUUAAUUGAAUUGUAUAAGAUUAAAAUAUCCUAUCCUUGGGUUAAUAAUAUUUUCUUGAUCUUCUAAACUUCAUCAUUUCAAACAAUUCCAAUUGUUCUAAAGAGUGAGUAAAUCAAAUUGUUAUUUAUCUACAUGAGCACAUUACUCACCGCACCUCACAAUGUAGUUUAACCUAGCUGGAGUACAUGACUACAAAUAGAUCGAUUGAUAAUAAAAACCCGCGGCAACGCGCGGACGCUUUUU